rnacentral:tRNA from 1 species
AAGCCCCGGCAGAAUCUACUCUGCUGCUUAAGAUUUGCAGUCUUUAUUCAGAGCC